UUUCACUCCCAAACCCAAUGUGAACGUUACCAAACUGUUGCCUCGGCGGGAUCUCUGCCCCGGGUGCGUCGCAGCCCCGGACCAAGGCGCCCGCCGGAGGACCAACCAAAACUCUUUCUGUAUACCCCCUCGCGGGUUUUUUAUAAUCUGAGCCUUCUCGGCGCCUCUCGUAGGCGUUUCGAAAAUGAAUCAAAACUUUCAACAACGGAUCUCUUGGUUCUGGCAUCGAUGAAGAACGCAGCGAAAUGCGAUAAGUAAUGUGAAUUGCAGAAUUCAGUGAAUCAUCGAAUCUUUGAACGCACAUUGCGCCCGCCAGUAUUCUGGCGGGCAUGCCUGUCCGAGCGUCAUUUCAACCCUCGAACCCCUCCGGGGGGUCGGCGUUGGGGAUCGGCCCUGCCUCUUGGCGGUGGCCGUCUCCGAAAUACAGUGGCGGUCUCGCCGCAGCCUCUCCUGCGCAGUAGUUUGCACACUCGCAUCGGGAGCGCGGCGCGUCCACAGCCGUUAAACACCCAACUUCUGAAAUGUUGACCUCGGAUCAGGUAGGAAUACCCGCUGAACUUAAGCAUAUCAAUAAGCCGGGAGGAA
rnacentral:rRNA from 1 species